UUCAAUGGCGGCAACAAGACCUU
rnacentral:sRNA from 1 species